GAGGGAAUCUUGCGCAAUGGGCGAAAGCCUGACGCAGCGACGCCGCGUGGGGGAUGAAUGCCUUAGGGUUGUAAACCCCUUUCACGAGGGAAGAAACUGACGGUACCUCGAGAAGAAGCCCCGGCCAACUACGUGCCAGCAGCCGCGGUAAUACGUAGGGGGCGAGCGUUGUCCGGAUUUAUUGGGCGUAAAGGGCUCGUAGGCGGCUUGGCAAGUCGGCCGUGAAAACCCAGGGCUCAACUCUGGGACGCCGGUCGAUACUGCCAUGGCUAGGGUCCGGUAGAGGGGAAUGGAAUUCCCGGUGUAGCGGUGAAAUGCGCAGAUAUCGGGAGGAACACCAGUAGCGAAGGCGGUUCCCUGGGCCGGCACCGACGCUGAGGAGCGAAAGCGUGGGGAGCAAACAGG
rnacentral:rRNA from 1 species